UAGUGGCGGACGGGUGAGUAACGCGUGAGCAAUCUACCUCCAGGUGAGGGAUAACAACCGGAAACAGUUGCUAAUACCUCAUGACAUAUAUUUUUCGCAUGGGAGAUAUAUCAAAGGCUUGCUGCCUGGAGAUGAGCUUGCGUCUGAUUAGGUAGUUGGUGAGGUAACGGCCCACCAAGCCGACGAUCAGUAGCCGGACUGAGAGGUUGAACGGCCACAUUGGAACUGAGAUACGGUCCAGACUCCUACGGGAGGCAGCAGUGGGGAAUAUUGGGCAAUGGGCGAAAGCCUGACCCAGCAACGCCGCGUGAGGGAAGAAGGUUUUCGGAUUGUAAACCUCUGUCCUUGGUGACGAAGGAAGUGACGGUAGCCAAGGAGGAAGCCCCGGCUAACUACGUGCCAGCAGCCGCGGUAAUACGUAGGGGGCAAGCGUUGUCCGGAAUGACUGGGCGUAAAGGGCGCGUAGGCGGCCAUUUAAGUUAGGAGUGAAAGUCCCGCUUUCAAGGUGGGAAUUGCUUUUAAUACUGAAUGGCUUGAGUGCGGAAGAGGUAAGUGGAAUUCCCAGUGUAGCGGUGAAAUGCGUAGAGAUUGGGAGGAACACCAGUGGCGAAGGCGACUUGCUGGGCCGUAACUGACGCUGAGGCGCGAAAGCGUGGGGAGCGAACAGGAUUAGAUACCCUGGUAGUCCACGCGGUAAACGAUGAAUGCUAGGUGUAAGGGGUAUCGACCCCUCCUGUGCCGGAGUAAACACAAUAAGCAUUCCGCCUGGGGAGUACGGGCGCAAGGGUGAAAAUUCAAAGGAAUGGACGGGGGCCCGCACAAGCAGCGGAGCAUGUGGUUUAAUUGGAGGCAACGCGAAGACCCUUACCAGUUCUUGACAUCGAUUUAUUCUUCUAGAACCAGGGGGUGGCUUCGGCCAGGAGAAGCCAGGUGGUGCAUGGUGGUGGUCAGCUCGUUUGGUGAGAUGUUGGGUUAAUUCCGGCAAGGAGCGCAACCCCUAUUAUCCAGUUAUUACCAGGUAAUGUUGAGGACUCUGAUGAGACCGCCGGGGACAACUCGGAGGAAGGUGGGGACGACGUCAAAUCAUCAUGCCCCUUAUGACCUGGGCUACACACGUGCUACAAUGGUGAUAACAAAGAGGAGCGAAGUCGCAAGGCGGAGCGGAUCUCAAAAAAAUCAUCUCAGUUCGGAUUGUGGGCUGCAACCCGCCCACAUGAAGUUGGAGUUGCUAGUAAUCGCGAAUCAGCAUGUCGCGGUGAAUACGUUCCCGGGCCUUGCACACACCGCCCGUCA
rnacentral:rRNA from 1 species